rnacentral:rRNA from 1 species
UACGGAGGGGGCUAGCGUUGUUCGGAAUUACUGGGCGUAAAGCGCACGUAGGCGGCUUUGUAAGUUAGAGGUGAAAGCCCGGGGCUCAACUCCGGAAUUGCCUUUAAGACUGCAUCGCUAGAAUUGUGGAGAGGUAAGUGGAAUUCCGAGUGUAGAGGUGAAAUUCGUAGAUAUCGGGAGGAACACCAGUGGCGAAGGCGGCGAUCUGGGCAGAUACUGACGCUGAGGUGCGAAAGCGUGGGGAGCAAACAGG